rnacentral:lncRNA from 10 species
CUGCGCAAGGGAAGCCAUGGUUUAAAUGUGAAAUAAGCUACUAUUUGAGUUAAGAUAAAAAGUAUCAGACGUCGCCCGCAGGCCUAAGACAAAAUGGACAGCCUCAUUAAACAACAAAAUGGGGCACACAUUCGUAGAAAGGUGUCAACUGACCACCUGUCUCCUGUGAGUGAAGUGAGAAACUGUUAACUGACUGCCUACCCUAUGUGGUGUAAGUAUGAUGCAGCAACGCCACUUGAAAAAUGCUUGGAAGUCACUUUCAGCAUCAAAUACCAUGUUCUCCUAUCACCUCCACCAAUCUUGAGAGAAGGUCAGAUAAGGCAUGUGCUGACAGAGGUUGCUUGAGGGCCCGGAAUAUCUGGAAGGACCGACCAGCAUAGUGCCUUGAAGAGCUUGCGAGGGCUGUCUGCAAUGCAACUUCACUCAACUGGUGCUCCAGAUGGAAGCCUAGGGUAACAAGAGCCACAGAAUAGGUCAGUCUCUACUCUACAUGCUCUGGGGCAUCAAAGUUACCUCUAAGUUUAAAACAGGCUAACGGCACAGGGCUACCUUGUAGUGGUACUUAUUUACAAGUCAACCAUUUUUUUUUUCUCUUUUUGAGACAGGGUCUCACUCUGCUGCCCAGGCUGGAGUGCAGUGGCAUGAUCACGGCUCACUGCAGCCUCUACCUCCUGGGCUCAAGUGAUCCUCCCACCUCAGUCUCCCAAGUAGCUGGGACUACAGGCAUGUGCCACCAUGCCUGGAUACUUUUUUGUGUUUUUUGUAGAGAUGGGGUCUCACUAUGUUGCCAAGGCUGGUCUUGAACUCCUGGGCUCAAGUGAUCUGCCUGCUCUGCCUUCCUAAAGUGCUCAGAUUACAAGCAUGAGCCACCACAUCAAGCUUUUUUUUUUUUUUUUUUUUUGGAAACAGGGUCUUUCUUUGUUGCCCAGGCUGGUCAUGAACUCCUGGGCCCAAGAAAUCCUCCUGCCUCAGCCUACUGAGUUGCUGGG